rnacentral:rRNA from 1 species
CCUACGGGAGACAGCAGUGAGGAAUAUUGGUCAAUGGGCGCGAGCCUGAACCAGCCAAGUAGCGUGAAGGAUGACUGCCCUACGGGUUGUAAACUUCUUUUAUAUGGGAAUAAAAUGUUCCACGUGUGGGAUUUUGUAUGUACCAUAUGAAUAAGGAUCGGCUAACUCCGUGCCAGCAGCCGCGGUAAUACGGAGGAUCCGAGCGUUAUCCGGAUUUAUUGGGUUUAAAGGGUGCGCAGGCGGAAGCGGCAAGUCAGCGGUAAAAUUGCGGGGCUCAACCUCGCCGAGCCGUUGAAACUGCUCUUCUAGAGUGGGCGAGAAGUAUGCGGAAUGCGUGGUGUAGCGGUGAAAUGCAUAGAUAUCACGCAGAACUCCGAUUGCGAAGGCAGCAUACCGGCGCCCAACUGACGCUCAUGCACGAAAGCGUGGGUAUCGAACAGGAUUAGAUACCCUGGUAGUC